rnacentral:rRNA from 1 species
UUAAUUGAAGAAUUGAAUGAACGAAUUGAUGAAAUAAUUACUGUCUCUAAAUUAUAAAAUGAACUUAAAUUUUUAGUUAAAAUUCUAAAAUUUAAUUAUGGGACGAUAAGACCCUAUAGAAUUUUAUUUAAAUUAUUAUUUAAUUUAAAUUUUAUUUUUAAAUAAAAUAAUAAAUUUAAAUUUGAUUGGGAGGAUUAAUAAAUUUAAUAAACUUUAUUUUUAAAUAUAAUUUUGAUUAAAAGAUUUAAUAUUGAUCUAUAAUUUAUAAUUAAAAGAAUAAAUUACCUUAGGGAUAACAGCGUAAUAUCUUUUGAUAGACCUUAUUGAUAAAGAUGAUUGCGACCUCGAUGUUG